UUUAGUUUACAGUCGGUGAACAGCCGUUGUUCUUACGGAGGGUGAAGUAGCUCCUGUUUGUGGCGGAGUGAAGGAGACGCAGCUGCCAGCAGGCAUGUAUGGCAAGCCGGUUUACCAUUUAAUAUUUUGGCUUUUCAACAGUGGCGGAGCUAGACCUUUAUGAGGAAUGCCAAAGGCCUUUUUGAAGACCUGUCCUGCAGCCAGCAUUGUCACAGUUGCCAGACAACAGAACGUACAGCAGGGUAAGGACAGGAGGCUAGACCGUCCAAAUUCACAGCCACUUUUUUCUGGUCUUUGUGGUCUACCAAGGACCCGGCCCACCAUCAAGGUGGGGGUUUACGUUGAACAAAAUAGCAUUACACAAAGCCAGUAUCUUUAUGAGAUUACAAG